AAGUAAUCUUUAACGUUAAUAACUUGUUUGAAAUGAAAUAUGACAAAAAGUAAUAUGAAAAAUAUUUUUAUUUUUGUAUAAAGAAGUAAAGUUGAGUGAAAGAUUAAUAAUUAAACUAUAGUGAAAAGUACUGUGAAGGAAAGUAAUAAAAUUUUAUAAAGUAAAAAUUAAGGUUUGUAUCUUGUGUAUCAGAGAAAACUUAUAUAAGUUAAGUAUAUUAAUCAUCUCGAAAUAAAGUAUAGCGAUUUUUAUAAGAUUUUCUUUUUGGAAAAAAAGAAUUAAAUAUAAAAUUUAAAGCGAAAUGCUAGAUGAGCUUUAUUAUAUCUAGUUUUUUUAAAAAUAAAUUAAAUUUAAUUUUUACAAUUAAGUUUUGUAAAACUAAAUGGUAGGAGGGAUUAGCUUCUUAUGGAAAAUAAAAUUAAAGAGUUAAAUAAAAUUAUAAUUAUAAGUUAGGCUUAGAAGUAGUCAUAUUUAUAAAGUGUUUUAACUAAGUUUUUAGGUGUUAAAAUAUUUUUAAAAACUUUUUUAUGGUAUAAAAAAAUUUAUCUGAAUUAGAAAGAAUAAAAUAUAAUGGUUUUAUUAGUAAAAUUUUUUUAGAAAAAAAAAAGUAAAAUACUUAAAAAAGUUUAAUAGGUCAAAUAUCAAUAUAAAGGAACUCAGCAAAAAAUUUCUUUGCCUGUUUAUCAAAAACAUGUCUUUUUGUAGAUAAAAAAAGUCAAGCCUGCCCACUGAUAAUUUUUAAGGGCCGCGGUAUUUUGACCGUGCGAAGGUAGCGUAAUCAUUAGUUUUUUAAUUGGAAUCUUGUAUGAAUGGUUAGACAAGAGAAAAUCUGUCUCUUUAUUGAAAAUUGAAUUUAACUUUUAAGUGAAAAGGCUUAAAUUAUUUAAAGGGACGAUAAGACCCUAUAAAGCUUAAUAUAGAUAGUUGUUUAAUUAAAUUAAAGAUAAAAGUUUUACAAUCUAAAUUAUUUUAUUGGGGCGAUAAGGGUAAAAUGUUUUGUAACUGCUUGUAAAAGGAAACAUAUUAGUUGAAAUAAAUUUUUAAAAGAUCCUGAUUAGGGAUUAUAAGUUUAAGUUACUUUAGGGAUAACAGCGUUAUUUUUUUUGAGAGUACAUAUCGAAAAAAAAGUUUGCGACCUCGAUGUUGAAUUAAAAUUUCUUUAUAGAGGCAGAAACUAUAAAAGUUGGUCUGUUCGACCUUUAAAAUUUUACAUGAUUUGAGUUCAAACCGGCGUGAGCCAGGUUGGUUUCUAUCUUUUAAUAGAAAAGAAAUUAUUUUAGUACGAAAGGAUUAAAUAGUUAAAAUUUUUUUUUAGUUGGAACUAUUUUGGCAGAUAAUAUGUGUUGGAUUUAGGAUCCUUUGAAAUAGAUAAAUUCUA
rnacentral:rRNA from 1 species